rnacentral:tRNA from 1 species
AGGAAUUUAGGUUAACAUAGACCAAGAGCCUUCAAAGCUCUAAGCAAAUGAACGUACAUUUAAUUCCUG